rnacentral:rRNA from 1 species
CAGGAUGAACGCUGGCGGCGUGCCUAAUACAUGCAAGUCGAGCGAACGGACGAGAAGCUUGCUUCUCUGAUGUUAGCGGCGGACGGGUGAGUAACACGUGGAUAACCUACCUAUAAGACUGGGAUAACUUCGGGAAACCGGAGCUAAUACCGGAUAAUAUUUUGAACCGCAUGGUUCAAAAGUGAAAGACGGUCUUGCUGUCACUUAUAGAUGGAUCCGCGCUGCAUUAGCUAGUUGGUAAGGUAACGGCUUACCAAGGCAACGAUGCAUAGCCGACCUGAGAGGGUGAUCGGCCACACUGGAACUGAGACACGGUCCAGACUCCUACGGGAGGCAGCAGUAGGGAAUCUUCCGCAAUGGGCGAAAGCCUGACGGAGCAACGCCGCGUGAGUGAUGAAGGUCUUCGGAUCGUAAAACUCUGUUAUUAGGGAAGAACAUAUGUGUAAGUAACUGUGCACAUCUUGACGGUACCUAAUCAGAAAGCCACGGCUAACUACGUGCCAGCAGCCGCGGUAAUACGUAGGUGGCAAGCGUUAUCCGGAAUUAUUGGGCGUAAAGCGCGCGUAGGCGGUUUUUUAAGUCUGAUGUGAAAGCCCACGGCUCAACCGUGGAGGGUCAUUGGAAACUGGAAAACUUGAGUGCAGAAGAGGAAAGUGGAAUUCCAUGUGUAGCGGUGAAAUGCGCAGAGAUAUGGAGGAACACCAGUGGCGAAGGCGACUUUCUGGUCUGUAACUGACGCUGAUGUGCGAAAGCGUGGGGAUCAAACAGGAUUAGAUACCCUGGUAGUCCACGCCGUAAACGAUGAGUGCUAAGUGUUAGGGGGUUUCCGCCCCUUAGUGCUGCAGCUAACGCAUUAAGCACUCCGCCUGGGGAGUACGACCGCAAGGUUGAAACUCAAAGGAAUUGACGGGGACCCGCACAAGCGGUGGAGCAUGUGGUUUAAUUCGAAGCAACGCGAAGAACCUUACCAAAUCUUGACAUCCUUUGACAACUCUAGAGAUAGAGCUUUCCCCUUCGGGGGACAAAGUGACAGGUGGUGCAUGGUUGUCGUCAGCUCGUGUCGUGAGAUGUUGGGUUAAGUCCCGCAACGAGCGCAACCCUUAAGCUUAGUUGCCAUCAUUAAGUUGGGCACUCUAAGUUGACUGCCGGUGACAAACCGGAGGAAGGUGGGGAUGACGUCAAAUCAUCAUGCCCCUUAUGAUUUGGGCUACACACGUGCUACAAUGGACAAUACAAAGGGCAGCGAAACCGCGAGGUCAAGCAAAUCCCAUAAAGUUGUUCUCAGUUCGGAUUGUAGUCUGCAACUCGACUACAUGAAGCUGGAAUCGCUAGUAAUCGUAGAUCAGCAUGCUACGGUGAAUACGUUCCCGGGUCUUGUACACACCGCCCGUCACACCACGAGAGUUUGUAACACCCGAAGCCGGUGGAGUAACCUUUUAGGAGCUAGCCGUCGAAGGUGGGACAAAUGAUUGGGGUGAAGUCUAAAAGG